rnacentral:rRNA from 1 species
UACGUAGGAUGCAAGCGUUGUCCGGAAUUAUUGGGCGUAAAGAGCGCGCAGGCGGUAUGACAAGUCAGAUGUGAAAGAGGCCGGCUUAACCGGCAAGGGUCAUUUGAAACUGUCAGACUAGAGUGCAGCAGAGGAUAGUGGAAUUCCCGGUGUAGUGGUGAAAUGCGUAGAUAUCGGGAGGAACACCAGUGGCGAAGGCGGCGACCUGGGCCAAUAUUGACGCUGAGAUGCGAAAGCGUGGGGAGCAAACAGG